rnacentral:rRNA from 1 species
CGAAAGCCUGACGGAGCAAGACCGCGUGGGGGAGGAAAGCCUUUGGGUUGUAAACCCCUUUUCUCAGGGAAGAAGCUCUGACGGUACCUGAGGAAUCAGCCUCGGCUAACUCCGUGCCAGCAGCCGCGGUAAUACGGAGGAGGCAAGCGUUAUCCGGAAUUAUUGGGCGUAAAGCGUCCGCAGGUGGCGAUUCAAGUCCGCUGUCAAAGCACGGGGCUUAACUCCGUAAAGGCAGUGGAAACUGAAUAGCUAGAGUUCGGUAGGGGCAAAGGGAAUUCCCGGUGUAGCGGUGAAAUGCGUAGAGAUCGGGAAGAACAUCGGUGGCGAAAGCGCUUUGCUAGACCGAAACUGACACUCAGGGACGAAAGCUAGGGGAGCG